GGCCAGUUAGCUCACUUGGGAGAGUGUGGUGCUGGUGACACCAAGGCCAUGGGUUCAGAUCCCCAUACUGGCCA